UAGGGAAUAUUGCAAAUGGGCGAAAGCCUGAUGUAGCAACGCCGCGUGUGCGAUGAAGGUCUUCGGAUUGUAAAGCACUUUUUGGAGGGAUGAGGAAGGACAGUACCUCCAGAGUAAGCCUCGGCUAACUACGUGCCAGCAGCCGCGGUAACACGUAGGAGGCGAACGUUAUCCGGGUUUACUGGGCGUAAAGCGCGUGUAGGUGGUACUGUAAGUAGGGCGUGAAAGCUCCUGGCUCAACUGGGAGAGGCCGUUCUAAACUACAGAACUAGAGGAUGGUAGAGGGAGGUGGAAUUCCAGGUGUAGCGGUGGAAUGCGCAGAUAUCUGGAGGAACACCGGUGGCGAAGGCGGCCUCCUGGACCAUUCCUGACACUCAGACGCGAAAGCUAGGGUAGCAAACGG
rnacentral:rRNA from 1 species